CCUACGGGAGGCAGCAGUGGGGAAUAUUGGACAAUGGGCGAAAGCCUGAUCCAGCAAUUCCGCGUGUGUGAAGAAGGCCUUCGGGUUGUAAAGCACUUUAGGUUGGGAAGAAAAAGCUCCGGUGAAUAUCCGGAGUGUUGACGGUACCAACAGAAUAAGCACCGGCUAACUCUGUGCCAGCAGCCGCGGUAAUACAGAGGGUGCAAGCGUUAAUCGGAUUUACUGGGCGUAAAGCGUGCGCAGGUGGUUUCGUAAGUCGGAUGUGAAAGCCCCGGGCUCAACCUGGGAACUGCGUUCGAUACUGCGAGACUAGAGUUUGGUAGAGGGUGGCGGAAUUCCCGGUGUAGCGGUGAAAUGCGUAGAUAUCGGGAGGAACAUCAAUGGCGAAGGCAGCCACCUGGGCCUGAACUGACACUGAGGCACGAAAGCGUGGGUAGCAAACAGGAUUAGAUACCCUGGUAGUCCACGCCGUAAACGAUGAGACUUGACGUCGGUCCGUUUACGAGUCGGUGUCGUAGCUAACGCGAUAGUUCUCCGCGUGGGNGACGCGCGAGUAGAACGUAAGUAGUAGUUGNGUGUUGAGAGNGCGACGCGACGACGAGGGAGGAGG
rnacentral:rRNA from 1 species